GACGAACGCUGGCGGCGUGCCUAACACAUGCAAGUCGAGCGGGGAAAAUUGGAAAGCUUGCUUUCUGGUUUUUCUAGCGGCGGACGGGUGAGUAACGCGUGAGUAAUCUGUCUCAAACAGGGGGAUAACGCAGCGAAAGUUGUGCUAAUACCGCAUAAGACCACAGUGCCGCAUGGUACAGGGGUCAAAGGAGCAAUCCGGUUUGAGGUGAGCUCGCGUCCCAUUAGGUAGUUGGUGAGGUAACGGCCCACCAAGCCUACGAUGGGUAGCCGACCUGAGAGGGUGAUCGGCCACACUGGAACUGAGACACGGUCCAG
rnacentral:rRNA from 1 species